rnacentral:rRNA from 1 species
GAUGAACGCUGGCGGCGUGCCUAAUACAUGCAAGUCGAGCGAACAGACGAGGAGCUUGCUCCUCUGACGUUAGCGGCGGACGGGUGAGUAACACGUGGAUAACCUACCUAUAAGACUGGGAUAACUUCGGGAAACCGGAGCUAAUACCGGAUAACAUGUUGAACCGCAUGGUUCAACAGUGAAAGACGGUCUUGCUGUCACUUAUAGAUGGAUCCGCGCCGCAUUAGCUAGUUGGUAAGGUAACGGCUUACCAAGGCAACGAUGCGUAGCCGACCUGAGAGGGUGAUCGGCCACACUGGAACUGAGACACGGUCCAGACUCCUACGGGAGGCAGCAGUAGGGAAUCUUCCGCAAUGGGCGAAAGCCUGACGGAGCAACGCCGCGUGAGUGAAGAAGGUCUUCGGAUCGUAAAACUCUGUUAUUAGGGAAGAACAAAUGUGUAAGUAACUAUGCACGGCUUGACGGUACCUAAUCAGAAAGCCACGGCUAACUACGUG